UACGUAGGGGGCUAGCGUUGUCCAGAAUCAUUGGGCGUAAAGCGCGUGUAGGCGGCCCGGUAAGUCCGCUGUGAAAGUCGGGGGGCUCAACCCUCGGAUGCCGGUGGAUACUGUCGGGCUCGAGUACGGAAGAGGCGAGUGGAAUUCCUGGUGUAGCGGUGGAAAUGCGCAGAUAUCAGGAGGAACACCAAUUGCGAAGGCAGCUCGCUGGGACGUUACUGACGCUGAGACGCGAAAGCGUGGGGAGCAAACAGG
rnacentral:rRNA from 1 species